rnacentral:misc_RNA from 1 species
CCAAUAGCGUAUAUUAAAGUUGUUGUGGUUAAAAAGCUCGUAGUUGAACCUUGGGCCUGGCUGGCCGGUCCGCCUCACCGCGUGUACUGGUCCGGCCAGGCCUUUCCCUCUGUGGAACCUCAUGCCCUUCACUGGGUGUGACGGGGAAGCAGGACUUUUACUGUGAAAAAAUUAGAGUGCUCCAAGCAGGCCUAUGCUCGAAUACAUUAGCAUGGAAUAAUAAAAGAGGACGUGCGGUUCUAUUUUGUGGGUUUCUAGGACCGCCGUAAUGAUUAAUAGGGACAGUCGGGGGCAUCAGUAUUCAAUUGUCAGAGGUGAAAUUCUUGGAUUUAUUGAAGACUAAAUACUGCGAAAGCAUUUGCCAAGGAUGUUUUCAUUAAUCAGGAACGAAAGUUAGGGGAUCGAAGACGAUCAGAUACCGUCGUAGUCUUAACCAUAAACUAUGCCGACUAGGGAUUAGCCUGAGUUCCUUAAAUGACUCGGCUAGCAGCUUCCG